rnacentral:rRNA from 1 species
AGAGUUUGAUCAUGGCUCAGGACGAACGCUGGCGGCGUGCUUAACACAUGCAAGUCGAGCGGAAAGGCCCUUCGGGGUACUCGAGCGGCGAACGGGUGAGUAACACGUGAGCAACCUGCCCUAGGCUUUGGGAUAACCCCGGGAAACCGGGGCUAAUACCGGAUAUGACCUCGGGAUGCAUGUCCUGGGGUGGAAAGUUUUUCGGUGCAGGAUGAGCCCGCGGCCUAUCAGCUUGUUGGUGGGGUAAUGGCCUACCAAGGCGACGACGGGUAGCCGGCCUGAGAGGGCGACCGGCCACACUGGGACUGAGACACGGCCCAGACUCCUACGGGAGGCAGCAGUGGGGAAUAUUGCACAAUGGGCGCAAGCCUGAUGCAGCGACGCCGCGUGAGGGAUGACGGCCUUCGGGUUGUAAACCUCUUUCACCCAUGACGAAGCGCAAGUGACGGUAGUGGGAGAAGAAGCACCGGCCAACUACGUGCCAGCAGCCGCGGUAAUACGUAGGGUGCGAGCGUUGUCCGGAAUUACUGGGCGUAAAGAGCUCGUAGGCGGUUUGUCGCGUCGUCUGUGAAAUCCCGCAGCUCAACUGCGGGCUUGCAGGCGAUACGGGCAGACUCGAGUACUGCAGGGGAGACUGGAAUUCCUGGUGUAGCGGUGAAAUGCGCAGAUAUCAGGAGGAACACCGGUGGCGAAGGCGGGUCUCUGGGCAGUAACUGACGCUGAGGAGCGAAAGCGUGGGUAGCGAACAGGAUUAGAUACCCUGGUAGUCCACGCCGUAAACGGUGGGCGCUAGGUGUGGGUUUCCUUCCACGGGAUCCGUGCCGUAGCCAACGCAUUAAGCGCCCCGCCUGGGGAGUACGGCCGCAAGGCUAAAACUCAAAGGAAUUGACGG